rnacentral:rRNA from 1 species
AACGAACGCUGGCGGCAUGCCUAACACAUGCAAGUCGAACGAGACCUUCGGGUCUAGUGGCGCACGGGUGCGUAACGCGUGGGAACCUGCCCUUAGGUUCGGAAUAACUCCCCGAAAGGGGUGCUAAUACCGGAUAAUGUCUUCGGACCAAAGAUUUAUCGCCUUUGGAUGGGCCCGCGUUGGAUUAGCUAGUUGGUAGGGUAAAAGCCUACCAAGGCGACGAUCCAUAGCUGGUCUGAGAGGAUGAUCAGCCACACUGGGACUGAGACACGGCCCAGACUCCUACGGGAGGCAGCAGUGGGGAAUAUUGGACGAUGGGCGAGAGCCUGAUCCAGCAAUGCCGCGUGAGUGAUGAAGGCCUUAGGGUUGUAAAGCUCUUUUACCCGGGAUGAUAAUGACAGUACCGGGAGAAUAAGCGCCGGCUAACUCCGUG